rnacentral:rRNA from 1 species
UUCAAACUCACUUCAGUCUAUGGGCCUACGAGAAGUAAUCUGAAAGACUCUUUCUUCCAAGAGCUUGUGAGCCUCAAGCCUGCACAGGGCACUAGAUGGCUAGUGACGGAAAGCUUCAACCAAGUUUAUCGUGCCCGGGACAAAAACCGUGCAAAUGUGGACCGCUCUCGCUUGGUGCGCUUUCGAAAUGCCCUUAACUCCUGUGAGCUGAAAGAAAUCCAUCUACAAAAUCGAAAGUUCACUUGGAGCAACGAACAGACUAAUCCGACUUUGAGCAAAUUAGACUCUUUUUUCUGCAAUGAGGAAUGGGACCUAGAUUUCGGCACACACAUUCUCCAUGCCCUGUCGUCCUCGCUCUCGGACCAUUGCCCGCUCGUGUUGGCUAGCGACAAGGGGCCAAAACGGCCAAAAUCUUUCCGUUUUGAAAACUUCUGGACUAAAAUGCCUAACUUCAAGAAGAUCGUCCAGGAUGCCUGGAAUGAGGAAACCACCCACUCUGAGCCCUAUCAAGUGCUUUUCCACAAGCUCAAGAGAACAAGUCAGUGUCUUCGCAAGUGGAGCAGGUCCAUUUUCUCGAACCACAAAAUCCAUCUCCACAUGGCCCUUGAGAUCAUCCUCCGUCUCGACAUCGCGCAAGAACAAAGGACACUAUCAACAGGUGAACGAAUCCUGAGAAAGAAUCUUAAGAGAAAGGUUGUGGCCUUGGCGGUUCUUGAGCGGGCAAGGAAAAGGCAAAGCUCGAGAAUUAAGUUACUCAAAGAAGGGCAUGCA